ACUGGGGAAUUUGGUGCAAGCAGGAGCUUCACCUCAUGCAGAAUUGCAGUGUGAUUUUAGAGUGCUGUUACCAUUCUUAUGCUUAGAAGGCAGAGUGUCUUCAGUUAGGAUUCUGUCGUGUUUAAUGGAUCCCACUCUCGUUGGCUUAGGCAGAAAGGUGUUAAAUGGUUUGCAGAAUUGUUGGGAAGGCUAAGCUUCCAGGAGCAGCUCCCAAAGUCUCCACACACAACUGGACCACCAGGGAACCUGCUCCCUCCACCAGGACAGGACUUGGAAACCUGCCACCGCAAUUACCAGCACCAGAAGGAUCUUGUCUCUGCUAAGUCUCUGUCGACAUAGUGAAUACCCUGUGCCCUGCCUCUCUCUCCCUGACUCAGGUCCCAUUCCAGGUCUUGCCCAAGUCUUUCUGAUUGGUGGGACUUAAAUCACACCCAAAAUUCCAGCUGCAGGAGAGCUCUGAGAUUUCAUCUUUCCAACCUCUGUGUGCUACGUGGGGGUUGGAGCACUUGCUGACAAGCCUUGCAACCACCAUUGACAGGAUGUCCUCCACCUUUUCAAUCUGAUUUGCUCUUUGCCAUGCAGACCUGUGGAUGAAGAGCCAGAGUCCUCCAAGGUGAAGCUGGACUGAAUAUUUCUGU
ensembl:lncRNA CCDC144NL-AS1 CCDC144NL antisense RNA 1